CUACUAAAAGCCCUAUAGGCAGCUUACUUGACAGCAAAUGCUCAAGAGAGCAAAAUGUCCUCCUGCUGGAUCCUGACUUUCCAAGGCUCUCACUUCAGGUCUUCCUGAGGGAUGCCAAGGAUGCCAACAUGGGCUUAUUUCUCACCUCAGAUGCCUCUGGCCAAUUGGCAAGGGGCACCCACAGAGAGCUCCAAUCCUGUUUCAGCUGCCAACUCAAAUGCUGCUUUCUACAUGAUAUACCUCCUGCAAUAAAGCUCUAAGAUGGAAGAAAGACUAUGAAAUAAAGAGGCAGUCCUCAUUGUGUCAUCCAGGCUGGAGUACAGCGAUGUGAUCUUGGCUCACAG
rnacentral:lncRNA from 1 species